rnacentral:lncRNA from 1 species
UGUAUUUGAGCAGCACCAGUGCAGGAUCAGUACAGAUCUGUUAGUUGCAUAUUUUACCUUUUGUUUUUCCUCGUCUCUCAAUUCAAAAAACAAUUAUACGUUCAUUUUCUUUAAAGCUAGAAAAUGCAAAAGAGUACAGUCAAAAUGAGCAAAUCCACAGUUAAACGGCUACAUUUUGUGGCUACAUUACUGAUUAGAUAAUUUCAUGGUUAUUCACAAACGUAUCUGAUGAAAUCGUUAAUACAUUAAUAGGACUUUCUAUUGUUUACAUUAAGUUGUAACUUUGUCAUAGUUGUUGACAAAUCAGUCUCACUUUGGAAACAUAGAAUAUAAAUUUAAUUUCUACAGAGUAGUGUGUGUGUGUACACACACACACACACACACACACACACACACACACACACACACACACACACACACACACACACACAUAU